CCGCUGGAGUGGGGUUGCAGAGUGGGGGAGGGCGGUGGGCAGCUCACAUUCAGGCAUUCAGGGCUUGAAAGGAACGGCUUAGGGAGCCUGACACAGGCCCAGCUCCUCCCACUCUUCAGGAGGCUGGGAUACCGAACCCCAGCUCGCGCACAGAGCCAGCGGGCAGGGCUUAGGGCCAGCUGCCUGCAUCCGGCUCAGCCACCAGCCUUUUUGUUCGCUUCCCCCGCCCCCUUUUUGUUUGGGUGGGGGGGCACUUUUAUUAAUUCUUACUUAUCCCCCAUCUUUGCAUUCGAGAGAGUUCGAAAGUCACUUUAAUUUUCAGGCUCCCCGUCUUUGAGUCCUGAUUACCUCUGGGAGUAUAGCGAAGGGAGGAGGUCCUGAGAAUUUAGUGUAAGACUUUAGAAACUUAGACACAGUUCGUGUGCAGGCACACGCGGACUCUCUCUCUCUCUCUCUCUCUCUCUCUCUCUCUCUCUCACACACACACACACACACACACACACUCACACACACACACACUCAUGACCACAAUCACUACCACCAUCACAAGAAAGACAGGCACUUUCCACUAGCUUUUAGUUUCUUAAUCGGGCAGGUAAGACCCUUGCCCUGAGCGUCGUUUUCCAGAUGUAAGAAGUCCAAAGAACUGAAAUCCAUCUCUUAACUCACGAUUGUAACACAAACGGCAACGACAAAUCGUAGCGUUAAACACACGUGGAAUGCUGAGCGCUACGACCUAGCUGCAGUCACAGCACAGGGGCCCGAGGUAAACCGACCCGCUACGAGCUCUGAAGUGUACAUUUCAGUUCUUCAGUGUGUUGAAGCAAAGCUGCCGGCAGAGCUGAAGAACAGAACUCUCACAAGCUACCUUAACUGUGGCGCAAAACAGCCUUUGGCCACCAGAGGCACCGCGAGUCUGCGGCCUGUCAAAAACUGGCGCUCUUGGUGAGCCUGUCGAUUCCAUCUGUCACAAAUUUUAAUUUUAAGUCGCUGCCGAAGCAUAGGGUAUCCCAGCUGCAGCGCGCUCAGAAAGUGAACUGUCCCCCUCUCCAAAGAGACAAGGUAUUUGAAAGGGUAAAAGUGAGGGCCAGAGCCAAGACCCAGGUGGAUUAACCUGGCGAUUGGAAAAGGCUUACUGCUCAGGCUGGGGAGUUGUGCCUCUGCAAUCGCCUCAAACCAUGGGAGAACCAGACUGAGCUAUGCGGAGGCUAGCUAUGGUGCUUUGAUUUUUGUAGCGGAAAACAAACGCAAAUAUGUCCUCAAACACUGUGCAGGCAUGCUGCAGCAAGGUUAUUCAUCCCAGGCACAGGCAGGAGGCUCACUGCAAGUUCAAGGCCUGCGGGUUCCAUCUAGUCAGGGCCAGGUUAGACACUUGCUAACAUCCUGAGCAAUCUGUACUUCCAAGCUCCCCUGAAGGCCAGUCCUGAGAUGCAUCUUCAAGUGUGUGUUUGUUUCGGCUUCUUUAGAGAGAUCUCAAAACAGCCCACAGGACAAUCAUCUGGAGACCUUGUGUUCAAUUCUGGAUUCCUGGCUCCUGGAGUCUCAGACAGCUAACCCCCAGGAAUGCCUGGAAGUCUACAUGUCCAGCAAAAUUUAGCAGGGGUACUGUUGCUGUUUAGCUGCUUACUGGGGACAUGCUCUGACCGUCUCUGUUCCGGAGGUUAUAAAAUGGUUCAUUUUUACUACUCAAGUGAAAUCUUAGCCUUGAUAAAAUCUUAGUGGGAGUUAAGGGAGAACAAGAUCUCUGCUCGCCCUGAAGGCCUCUCCAGAGACUCAGGGCCUUGUCAUGGAAGGGGAGAGGAGCUGGCCGCGACCGCAGGCUGUGCUAUCUUACGCAUAGGCCUUUCUGCACCUCAGGCUCCUACUAGUUCUUUGGUAAUGUUCAGUAACUAGAAGUUCACUGUCAAAGAAUGUUCAUAGGACAACAGUCACUUUCGUUUUUGCCACCAGCAAUGACGUGAUCCACAAAGGUGGAAGUUUCUCCGAGAGUCCCUCCCACAGAGAGGAUCCUGUGGAGAGUGCCAUGCAGAUGUCCAUUUGAAGAUCCUAGCUGUGGGCUAGCCUGCAGAUGACGGACGUGCAACCAGUGCCUGCCAGCUGGUACACGAAGAGAAGGGAUUUGGAGUGACAGCUGCCUGUCUCAGACUAGACUCAGCACGCACAACAUACUAUACAGGGCUUACCUGGAGCAACUGGCACGGGGAACCUAGUCUACCAGGGGCCAAAGAAGCCACUGGCUAGGACCGUCAUGACAGGAUGUGGCACACAUGUUGUGUGAAUAUCCACUGGCUAAGACACGCCCACAAGUCUUUGUAUAUAUUACUAAGCACUCUAUUCCGGGAGGAGCCAUUAAAGAGAGAGCCUUGCUGUGGCCAGAGUCAUUGGCUGGCUCACAGACGCAGUAUGAACUGGCCUGAAGGAAAUUCUCUUCAAUGCACUUUUUAUUGGCGAGGUUUAUGAGAUGGAUUCACACACUGUUUGGUGUGGUCAGCACCCCUUGAAGGCAGUCAUAAUGUUGGACCCAGAGUUUAAUGCCUGGACCCCGCCGCCCCCCAGAGUGCCAAGGAUGCCAGGAUGCUGCAGUCCUUCGAUAAUAAAGUGGAGAAGUAGCAUGGGACCUGCACACAUGGCUCUGAACACUCUGAGGACCAUUUCUAUUUCCUAAUCAGAAAGUCACAUUCGUCAGGAUAUUUUAUCUUUUUACCGAUGACAAAACACAGUUUUGACAAUCAACAGUCACACCCUGUGAAUUCUGUAAGCGAAGCGUUACCUUUGCGUUUGCUGUGGUUACACUGCCCCCUGAGGUCCCUGUCCGUGGACCAUAAGCAGUGACACCUUAGGAAGACAGUGGGAAGCUUGAAGAGAUGGACAAAGUGAGCAGUCUUCUGACCCUGACAAGAGUCAAAAACCAGCUGCUCUCCGGAUUUCAGAGGGAGAUGCUAUCCCAGACUGUGGUCAUCCCAGGCUUCCCAAGGCUUUUCCUGCAGCGGCUGUGGAUGAAAACAAGAGCGAGCAAGGGGAGGUGGACAAAUGGAAUGUGUAUGAGUACUGUGUGCUGGCUGCUGGAGAGGGCUUUUCUUCGUUGGUUCCUUGACUUUUGACAUCUGUGGGAAGUGGUCCUAAUUGGAUCUGGAUUAAUUUGAGCCUUUGAUAAAAUAACAUAACGCCAUUCCUACCUCUUCCUCUCUCCAAUCCUGACCCCAAGAAGUUUUAGAAAUGUCUAUAUAUUUGCUUAGUCUCCAGACACCGAGGGCAACCAUGUUCCUCAGCCACAGUGCAGAAGUCUGACCUGCGGCAUUCGGCGAUGUGUCUGUGCUGCCGAGUGUUUUGAGGCCUCUCAGGUUUCCACUCAUCUCCACUCACAGGCUGGACCCAGAGGCCUUGGAGCAGUCUGCUUCUCAGUUUUGAUCUGGUGGUCCGGACAAGAAUCCAGGGCAAGACAAGAUGGCCGCCCGUGCCUAGCCCACACUGCCAGGGUGCUGACUUUCCCUCAGUGGACCAACUUGGAGGGCACAUCUCGAACCAACAAGGAGUACAGAGAAGAGCCAGCCCUUGGUAGCUGACAGGAAGUGCAAAGUUGUAAUGUCAAACCAAAGUUCCCAACCUGUGAAGCUUUCUCGGCCCACAACACUUCAUCUUUAGUCCUGAGAGAACUUUGAGAAGGUACUUAGCUGUUUGCUUUUUAAAUCUUAUCCUUCCUGUCCCGCCUGGUCACAGAGAGCUGCGUGCAGUAGGAAGGGCUUGGCUGUUGUAAUGAUCAAUGCUCAACUCAAAAUCAACCACCUUCAUACCCAGAAGGUAGUUCUCUGGCCAACCAUGAAGGACAGAAGGCGAUGAUAUCGCAGAGUCUAGAAGACCUGUUCACCCUGUAGCAUGGGUGUGCAGCUCGGGGGACUUCAGACACGUGACUCCUUUUCAGUAGGAAUUGGGACUGUGUUACGUUGUGGUAGGGGUCAGACUUGUCUCCGAGAGACCAGGUUCAGGGGUAGUGGGAAAGUUAAUCCAGUCUGAACACGCAGACUGCCCCACUUAGACAAGUGCAGCAAUUCUGGGUACCUAUGGGUCUUCCUGCCUAGAAACCCCUCGCUUAAUUUUGGAUCUUGCAGCCCAUGGUUUUUGGUGGUAAGUGCUGAUUUCAAACACUAAAUCUUUUGUACUGUCACCUAAAAGGGCAGAGCAGGAGCAUGGAAAGGCACAGUCUGCAGAAUGGCUGGGCUGUCUCACUGUGAUGUGUAGGUCUUACCGGAUGUCUUUCUGGGCCACACUCUCUAGUAAGUGGUGCUAAAUCUUACAGAGUGGAAAUAACACAGUGCCUUAGCCUAUCAUGAGAAUCUGGAAAAUAACUUUCUUCUCUUCACCUUUUUUCCUCUUUAUUUCUUUUUUUUUCUGGAAUGUCCUCAUCUCUGAUCUUAAAGAAUUUACUCUAUUUUUUUCAUCCCUAGUCUUUUAUUAUUGUUUGCUUUUUGGAGGUAGUAUCACGGAUGCCGUCUUUGUCCCGCUCGUGAGCCAAACACAGAAUGCCGAUGGCCCUGCUUAAUCUCUUCCAUCUAUGAGCUGGUGACGAUACUUGUGAUCCGUUCGUAAAUGCCACGCAGCUACUCAGUGCCUCGCUUGUUCUCAUUUUGAGGAUUUAGAUCCAGAGCCUUGUGAGCAUUAAAUGGGCAUUCAUGCACGAAGCUCCUGCUCCAGCCUUCAGCAUCAUCCUCUCUGCGCAGAUAACCCAGAUAUCGUGUCCAGGUAGCUAGCAGAGGUCCCGCAAUCUCAGCAAUCCUAGCCCAGUCCAUGAUGAUAAUGAUGAUGAUGAUACUACUAAUAAUAAUGUUUUUCUUCAUUACUGGUUGCCCUAAUGUGUGCACAAUUAUGAACUCUAGAAAUGGAGACAGACGAUGUAAGAGGAAAAAGGUUUUGGCCCUUGCUUUGCUGGGCACAGCACCUGGAGAGUUUGCAGCUGUCCUGCGUCUAUGAGGUGAUGCAUACAAGAAUGGAAACCGGUGUGCUAAUGACGGCGGGGGGUGGGGGAUGCUGGGAAAGAGCCUGGGCCUUGUGUGACAUCGCAGGAUUGUUGAACGAGACCUUGGCCAUUCCCUCUCAUGUUCUUCUCUAUGAAACAGUACAUGUCUCUUAGCUGUAGCUGAAGGACCUCUGCUUCUAGAACCUCGUGAAGAUUUGCAAAUGACACCCGCAGAGAACCCAGCUAGCACUUGCCAUCUAGCAUGCAUCAGGAGUUCUCGAUCGUCCAUGGCAAGGAAGAAAAUAAGGGCUCACACCGGGACCCUUAGCUCCCACCCGGAGGGUGCAAGGUUAUCAUCUUAAGGUGGCGAAAUGCUGCUAAAUGGGAAACCGCAGUGAACAGGCCAUUCUACGGGCACAGCUGGAUCUUCUGCCUCCUUCCCUGGCUGCGCGCGCGUUCGUCAGCUUUUCUUUUCCUUUGACUAAAUUGCUGGAGUUUCAAUCUUUCCCUGGACAAGGACAGCGAGACAGAGGCUGUACUUGAGUCAGUGGUGUGUGCAGAUGAACUGUCUACAGGGUGAAAGACUGAGAGCUGAGCCACGAGCCAGCCUGGUUCCUUCAGAUGCAGUCGACGCUUACGGCCUGAUGCUGGGUCAUACACACCAUUCUUAUGAACAUGGGGCUCAGAGAACCCAGCAGAGAAGAUGUGGGCAUGAGCAUGUGUGAAAAGCUCUUGCUGUCACCCAACAGUGUGGUGUUGGGAAUGACCAGCCCUGAACAACACAGGGAUCGCUAGCAACAAUGGCUUCAGUGACUACAUCCCAUGUCCCAAGCUCUGCCCCAAGUGUUUUGGAUAUGUUGUUUCCUCUAAUCUUCAUCUAUUUCCUUAUCUACCUCUUUAUAGCUGAGCUCUAGUGGUAUUGUCCAAGCUGGCCCUAACUAACCUCUUAGCUCCUAGACCUCCUUCUCGCUCAGCCUCCCUGGAGCUGUGACUUCAGGUCCACACUGUGGUGGUUUUCGUUACAGUUCUGUGCGGUCAGUGCCACUGUCACAGCUAAUUUGGAGAUAAUCCCAUUGAGACCCAAAUGCGCAGUGUGGGGAAUAGCUGGAAUUUACAUCUGAAUCCUUCUAAAUACAAACUCAUCAUCAUAACUAAGUCACUGAAGAGAUUUGAGCUUGAAAGGAGGAAACAAAAAUGGAAUGAAGAGAGCAGGGAAGAGGAAGAGGAAGAGGAAGAGGAAGAGGAAGAGGAAGAAGAAGAAGAAGAAGAAGAAGAAGAAGAAGAAGAAGAAGAAGAAGAAGAAGAAGAAGAAGAAGAAGAAGAAGAAGCGCUCAGCAGGAGCCCAGCUUCACGGAAAAGGGCUUCCCAGAAGGACAUCAGAGCCACAUGGCUCUCAGCUCAUUAACUAAGGUGGAAACUGUGGGGAGGAUAAAGCAGAAAGCAGCCUGGACUGGCACAGCGCCCCAGAAGAGCUUCAGGUUCCCGUGGGAAUGAGACUGGAGGGACCUGGGGGAAUGACCAGAACUGUUUAUCUGCCGAUGUGCUUGACAGUCGCUAAUAAGAGGUUGUCUAGGAGCACAAAGGGUUGUGGUUGGGUACAUCAGACCAGGGGACAUGACAUUCAGAGAGGAGAGGCCAAAUCACACCUUAUUAUUAUUAUUCUAGCACAGAAGAACAGGUGGCUGUCCCAGGUGUGUCAAGCUGACAACCAAGAUAGGCAAGGGUUAAAAGCAUGGGCUGGAGAAGCGCCUUUCUCCAUCGGGCAGCAGUCCGUCCAUGCAGGCACCCACAACUGGUCAAAGUGCUGAGAAAGGGAUCAACCCUAAAUGUACAUCUCUAUCACCUUCCCUGCCACCAGUGCCAAGGGAGCAUCACAGGAGAAGAGGCGUGAGGAAUGCAGGAGCUGUAUGAUGGGGGAGGGCUGUAGAGUGCUCUUCCAGACAUGACAGGGCUGUGGCACUUGUGACCUCACAGCAGCAAUGAUUAUCAUCACAUGACCGACACGAGACCAAGUCAGCCAAAACCCUAGCAUAGACGUUUAGAUGAUCAAUAGGCCUGUUCCAUGCUGAGGCAUGAUUGGCGGAUGGCAGCUGCAGAAGUGGUGAGAAUCUUUAAGAAUGUGGUCCCUGGUGGAUUUCCCAACACUCAUGCCCACUGUGAGCAGCACUAACUGGACUUAGUGGGUUAUGAAAAUAUAAAGUAAGACACUGACUUAGGAGAUGGAGGUGUUGGGGAAGUAUAGAAGGAAGGAAGGGGGAAAUGGAGGCUAGAGCUAAUCAUAUUUCAUUGUGUACAUAUAUAAUAAUCUCAGAGAGUGAAAAAUUAACUAAAAAAUUAAGAGUGAAGAAACACUGUCCAGGGAGACAAAGGAGGUUAACUAAAUGGGACAGGAGUAAGGAAAGGAAGGGUAGCGGCUAUGGGUGAAUGUGCCCAAUACAUAUGUGCAUGACAACUUUAAAAAAUAAAUACGUUUUCAAAAAUGUGAGAUGAGGAACCUGACUUUGGAAGGCAAUGAAGCUGUGGAUCAGAUUUCAAAUGCUUCAUUGUCCCUCUGCAAUGAGAGACAGCUUGGGAAAAGAAUUUAUAGACACUGAGACCAUUGUCAGGGACGAUGGCCCCAGAGGUUUCCACGAGGGUGAAAAUGCCCACUGGAGAUCAAAGCGGGCUGUCCUCAGAGCGGCGUCACAGGGCCAUCCUCUGAAAAGUGACCCACUGUUGGGCUCAGCUCCCUCUAGGAGGCUGAAUUGGAGCCAGCUGGUGUCUGGAACGUAACUCCUGGGUCACUCUCUGGUCUCCGUUUGAAGGCCAACUGCAUGUGAUUACGGGCGACAGAUACAAAGCU